rnacentral:rRNA from 1 species
CGAGCGGACAGAUGGGAGCUUGCUCCCUGAUGUUAGCGGCGGACGGGUGAGUAACACGUGGGUAACCUGCCUGUAAGACUGGGAUAACUCCGGGAAACCGGGGCUAAUACCGGAUGGUUGUUUGAACCGCAUGGUUCAAACAUAAAAGGUGGCUUCGGCUACCACUUACAGAUGGACCCGCGGCGCAUUAGCUAGUUGGUGAGGUAACGGCUCACCAAGGCAACGAUGCGUAGCCGACCUGAGAGGGUGAUCGGCCACACUGGGACUGAGACACGGCCCAGACUCCUACGGGAGGCAGCAGUAGGGAACUCUUCCGCAAUGGACGAAAGUCUGACGGAGCAACGCCGCGUGAGUGAUGAAGGUUUUCGGAUCGUAAAGCUCUGUUGUUAGGGAAGGACAAGUACCGUUCAAAUAGGGCGGUACCUUGACGGUACCUAACCAGAAAGCCACGGCUAACUACGUGCCAGCAGCCGCGGUAAUACGUAGGUGGCAAGCGUUGUCCGGAAUUAUUGGGCGUAAAGGGCUCGCAGGCGGUUUCUUAAGUCUGAUGUGAAAGCCCCCGGCUCAACCGGGGAGGGUCAUUGGAAACUGGGGAACUUGAGUGCAGAAGAGGAGAGUGGAAUUCCACGUGUAGCGGUGAAAUGCGUAGAGAUGUGGAGGAACACCAGUGGCGAAGGCGACUCUCUGGUCUGUAACUGACGCUGAGGAGCGAAAGCGUGGGGAGCGAACAGGAUUAGAUACCCUGGUAGUCCACGCCGUAAACGAUGAGUGCUAAGUGUUAGGGGGUUUCCGCCCCUUAGUGCUGCAGCUAACGCAUUAAGCACUCCGCCUGGGGAGUACGGUCGCAAGACUGAAACUCAAAGGAAUUGACGGGGGCCCGCACAAGCGGUGGAGCAUGUGGUUUAAUUCGAAGCAACGCGAAGAACCUUACCAGGUCUUGACAUCCUCUGACAAUCCUAGAGAUAGGACGUCCCCUUCGGGGGCAGAGUGACAGGUGGUGCAUGGUUGUCGUCAGCUCGUGUCGUGAGAUGUUGGGUUAAGUCCCGCAACGAGCGCAACCCUUGAUCUUAGUUGCCAGCAUUCAGUUGGGCACUCUAAGGUGACUGCCGGUGACAAACCGGAGGAAGGUGGGGAUGACGUCAAAUCAUCAUGCCCCUUAUGACCUGGGCUACACACGUGCUACAAUGGACAGAACAAAGGGCAGCGAAACCGCGAGGUUAAGCCAAUCCCACAAAUCUGUUCUCAGUUCGGAUCGCAGUCUGCAACUCGACUGCGUGAAGCUGGAAUCGCUAGUAAUCGCGGAUCAGCAUGCCGCGGUGAUACGUUCCCGGGCCUUGUACACACCGCCCGUCACACCACGAGA